CCGGCGACCGGCGCACGGGUGAGUAACACGUAUGCAACCUGGCCGUGACAGAUGGAUAACCGGGAGAAAUCCCGCCUAAUACAACAUAAUGCCGGGAGGGGACAUCCCCUGCCGGUCAAAGGGGGCGACCCCGGUCAUGGAUGGGCAUGCGGCGCAUUAGGUAGUUGGUGGGGCAACGGCCCACCAAGCCGACGAUGCGUAGGGGUUCUGAGAGGAAGUCCCCCACAUUGGAACUGAGACACGGUCCAAACUCCUACGGAAGGCAGCAG
rnacentral:rRNA from 1 species